rnacentral:rRNA from 1 species
GGGCGGCCCCGGGGUUUACCCCCCGGGCGCCCCUGGGCCCCACCGCGGGCGCCCGCCGGAGGUCACCAAACUCUUGAUAAUUUAUGGCCUCUCUGAGUCUUCUGUACUGAAUAAGUCAAAACUUUCAACAACGGAUCUCUUGGUUCUGGCAUCGAUGAAGAACGCAGCGAAAUGCGAUAAGUAAUGUGAAUUGCAGAAUUCAGUGAAUCAUCGAAUCUUUGAACGCACAUUGCGCCCGCCAGCAUUCUGGCGGGCAUGCCUGUUCGAGCGUCAUUUCAACCAUCAAGCCCCCGGGCUUGUGUUGGGGACCUGCGGCUGCCGCAGGCCCUGAAAAGCAGUGGCGGGCUCGCUGUCGCACCGAGCGUAGUAGCAUACAUCUCGCUCUGGUCGCGCCGCGGGUUCCGGCCGUUAAACCACCUUUUAACCCAAGGUUGACCUCGGAUCAGGUAGGAAGACCCGCUGAACUUAAGCAUAUCAAUAAGCGGAGGAAAAGAAACCAACAGGGAUUGCCCUAGUAACGGCGAGUGAAGCGGCAACAGCUCAAAUUUGAAAUCUGGCUUCGGCCCGAGUUGUAAUUUGCAGAGGAAGCUUUAGGCGCGGCACCUUCUGAGUCCCCUGGAACGGGGCGCCAUAGAGGGUGAGAGCCCCGUAUAGUUGGAUGCCUAGCCUGUGUAAAGCUCCUUCGACGAGUCGAGUAGUUUGGGAAUGCUGCUCAAAAUGGGAGGUAAAUUUCUUCUAAAGCUAAAUACCGGCCAGAGACCGAUAGCGCACAAGUAGAGUGAUCGAAAGAUGAAAAGCACUUUGAAAAGAGGGUUAAAUAGCACGUGAAAUUGUUGAAAGGGAAGCGCUUGUGACCAGACUUGCGCCGGGCGGAUCAUCCGGUGUUCUCACCGGUGCACUCCGCCCGGCUCAGGCCAGCAUCGGUUCUCGCGGGGGGAUAAAGGUCCUGGGAA